rnacentral:rRNA from 1 species
AUACGUAGGGGGCGAGCGUUGUCCGGAAUGAUUGGGCGUAAAGGGCGCGUAGGCAGCCCGGUAAGUCUGGAGUGAAAGCCCUGUUUUUAAGAUGGGAAUUGCUUUGGAUACUGUCGGGCUUGAGUGCAGGAGAGGUAAGUGGAAUUCCCAGUGUAGCGGUGAAAUGCGUAGAGAUUGGGAGGAACACCAGUGGCGAAGGCGACUUACUGGACGUUAACUGAGACUUAGGCGCGAAAGUGUGGGGAGAAAACAGGAUUAGAUACCCGGGUAGUCCACACUGUAAACGAUGAAUGCUAGGUGUAGUGGAUAACGACACCUUCUGAGCCGCAGUCAACACAAUAAGCAUUCCGCCUGGGGAGUACGGCCUCAAGGUUGAAACUCAAAUGGAUUGACACGG